GAUAUGGUGCUGGAGGAUAUGCUGAUGGUGGUGGAUAUGGUUGAGUAGGAUAUGCAGCUGAAUGAGGGGGCGGGUAUGGAGCAGGUGGAUAGACUGCAGAAUCAUGAGGAUAUGAAGGAUAGGAUGGCGUAGGGUAAGCUGAGGCUGGUGGUGGGUAAGGAGCUGCUGCAGCUGGUGGUGGGUAAGGAGCUGCUGAGGUUGGUGGUGGGUAAGGAGCUGCUGAGGUUGGUGGUGGGUAAGGAGCUGCUGAGGUUGGUUGAGGGUAAUAAGCUGAUGGAGGGUACGAGGCUGGUCGCAGGUAAGAGUAUGCAGAUGGUUCUGGUACAGGCGAUGCUGCAUAUGGUGGGACUGAUGGGGCAUAAUUCUUUGGUGGCUUCUGUGACUGCACAAGAAUUCAACAAUUACAUCGCUUCAGUUAUAGAUUAAUCUUCAAG
rnacentral:lncRNA from 1 species